GAUGAAGAACGUAGCGAAAUGCGAUAAGUAAUGUGAAUUGCAGAAUUCAGUGAAUCAUCGAAUCUUUGAACGCACCUUGCACCCUUUGGUAUUCCGAAGGGUAUGCUCGUUUGAGUGUCAUUGUACUCUCACACUUCUAAUUCCUUUCGGGAUUGGUAGCGGUGGACUUGGGUGUUGCUGCUUUAGUUGUGGCUCACCUCAAAUAAGUUAGUGCAACUCUUGGUUGGACAUAGUACGGCGUGAUAAGUGUCUUCGCCGGCGCCUCUGUAAGGAGGGUGGCCGAUCGGGAGCUCUGUGCUUCAAACCGUCUUCGGACAAUCUUUGACAACUUGACCUCAAAUCGAGUAGGACUACCCGCUGAACUUAAGCAUAUCAAUAAGCGGAGGA
rnacentral:misc_RNA from 1 species